rnacentral:rRNA from 1 species
ACAAUGGCAGGUACAGAGGGGUGCUACCGGGUGACCGGAUGCCGAUCUCGAAAACCUGUCCCAGUUCGGACUGGAGUCUGCAACCCGACUCCACGAAGUUGGAUUCGCUAGUAAUCGCGCAUCAGCCAUGGCGCGGUGAAUACGUUCCCGGGCCUUGUACACACCGCCCGUCAAGCCAUGGGAGCCGGGGGCGCCUGAAGUCCGGGACCGCGAGGACCGGCCUAAGGCGAAACUGGUGACUGGGGCUAAGUCGUAACAAGGUAAC